UUUUUGUUUUGUUUUUGUUU
rnacentral:sRNA from 1 species